GUGAGGAAUAUUGGUCAAUGGGCGAGAGCCUGAACCAGCCAAGUCGCGUGAAGGAAGAAGGAUCUAUGGUUCGUAAACUUCUUUUGCAGGGGAAUAAAGUGCGGGACGUGUCCUGUUUUGUAUGUACCCUGAGAAUAAGGAUCGGCUAACUCCGUGCCAGCAGCCGCGGUAAUACGGAGGAUCCGAGCGUUAUCCGGAUUUAUUGGGUUUAAAGGGUGCGUAGGUGGUUUGAUAAGUCAGCGGUGAAAGUUUGCAGCUUAACUGUAAAAAUGCCGUUGAAGCUGUCGGACUUGAGUGUAAAUGAGGUAGGCGGAAUGCGUGGUGUAGCGGUGAAAUGCAUAGAUAUCACGCAGAACUCCGAUUGCGAAGGCAGCUUACUAAGCUACAACUGACACUGAAGCACGAAAGCGUGGGGAUCAAACAGGAUUAGAAACCCUUGUAGUCC
rnacentral:rRNA from 1 species